rnacentral:hammerhead_ribozyme from 1 species
AUCCAGCUGAGGAGUCCCGAAUACGAUGAAACACGUGUCAAACUGGAU